UGAUAAGUAGCGCCGGCUGCUCGUCUGUAUAAGUGUGAAUCGACAAUUCCUAGGCCUUAGAUGGAAUUGCUGAUUGACACUUUUUUAU
rnacentral:ncRNA from 1 species